AUUACUUCCACAUUCGUGGCCUAACUAGCUUCCCACGCACGUGCUCCUGGCCCUAACUCCACCUCCCCACCUAACCUGAAACCUGCCUAAGACCCUAGUGACAGAUGAGAUAAUCAAUUACCAUUGGCUUUUGCUACUUCCUUAUCUUCCCCUAUAUAACUGGGCUUCUGAUGCAAUAAAGCUGAGUUUUGCUGCGCCUCCAAGGCUGACACAUCUCCCAGCUUGGUGUGGUUUGUGUUCCCCCUGCCUCAGAAGGAGGGGGAGGAUCAAGUCAUUGACACUUGCCCUCUUGCUCAGCCCCAGGGAGCAAGAGGCUGGUCCUGUUCAUCUCCUUCGUGCCAUUGUUGCAGAGAGCAACAACUGGUGCCCCGUGUGAGGAUCUCUCGCUUUGCUGAUGAGCUAAUUGGGCCAUGGAGUCCACAGUGAACCCAAUGAUGCUGGUCUUCCUGCUAAUAACGAUGAAUUUCCCAUUAGCUAAGACAGGAUUUGGAGAUCCUGGUCAAGCAAAAGCCAUACUAUGAAAGACCAUCAGAGACCCCUGCAUGUCCUGCUCUUUCACCCAAACUGCUCCCCCCAAAACCUGUUACACUUCUAUCAAAAUCUGCCCUAAUGAGCAACGGGCAUCCACACUCAUGAAAGGGACAUAAAAUGGAUGCCCUGGAAGAGUUCUCACUCACAAGUGUUGGCCGGGCCCAAAAGUGUAUCCACCCACCCAAGGGAAACGCCCCUCUGAGUGUCCUUGCACCACUUUUCAUGCCUCCGUUCAGGCUCGAUGCUAUAAGGAAGUUAGCCCCUGCACUAAACAGAACAAAACAUACUGGUAUGCAAUUCUGACAGAAUGCAAGACUGAAUAUGCUGACUGUCGAGAGAAUAGGGGAGCUCAUGCCUGCUGGAAUCCAGUUGCCCCUAUAGGCAUCUCUGAUGGGGGCAGAGUCCAAGAUCAGUUUCCACAGCACCAAAUUAAAAAACUGAUAGACAGGCUGA